rnacentral:rRNA from 1 species
AUUGAACGCUGGCGGCAGGCCUAACACAUGCAAGUCGAGCGGAGCGGCGGACGGGUGAGUAAUGCCUAGGAAUCUGCAUGGUAGUGGGGGAUAACGUCCGGAAACGGGCGCUAAUACCGCAUACUAUCAGAUGAGCCUAGGUCGGAUUAGCUAGUUGGUGGGGUAAAGGCCUACAAAGGCGACGACCCGUAACUGGUCUGAGAGGUUGAUCAGUCACACUGGAACUGAGACCCUGUCCAGAUUACUACGGCAGGCAGCAGCGGGGAAUAUUGGACAAUGGGCGAAAGCCUGAUCCAGCCAUGCCGCGUGUGUGAAGAAGAUCUUCGGAAUGUAAAGCACUUUAAGUUGGGAGGCGUUACCAACAGAAUAAGCACCGGCUAACUGCGUGCCAGCAGCCGCGGUAAUUC